UGGGGAAUAUUGGACAAUGGGCGCAAGCCUGAUCCAGCAAUGCCGCGUGUGUGAAGAAGGCCUUCGGGUUGUAAAGCACUUUUAUCAGGAGCGAAACGCUGUCGGCUAAUACCCGGCGGAACUGACGGUACCUGAGGAAUAAGCACCGGCUAACUUCGUGCCAGCAGCCGCGGUAAUACGAAGGGUGCAAGCGUUAAUCGGAAUUACUGGGCGUAAAGCGUGCGUAGGCGGUUUCUUAAGUCUGCUGUGAAAUCCCCGGGCUCAACCUGGGAAUGGCAGUGGAUACUGGGAGGCUAGAGUGUGUCAGAGGGUGGUGGAAUUCCCGGUGUAGCGGUGAAAUGCGUAGAGAUCGGGAGGAACAUCAGUGGCGAAGGCGGCCACCUGGGACAACACUGACGCUGAGGCACGAAAGCGUGGGGAGCAAACAGGAUUAGAUACCCUGGUAGUCCACGCCCUAAAAGCGAUGCGAACUGGAUGUUGGUCUCGACUCGGAGAUCAGUGUCGAAGCUAACGCGUUAAGUUCGCCGCCUGGGGAGUACGGUCGCAAGACUGAAACUCAAAUGAAUUGACGGGGUCAUGAGCUGUUUCCUG
rnacentral:rRNA from 1 species